UCGUGGCUCAGUGGUAGAGCAGCUGAUUCGUAAUCAGCAGGUCGCCGGUUCAAAUCCGGCCG
rnacentral:tRNA from 1 species